rnacentral:rRNA from 1 species
UACGUAGGGUGCAAGCGUUAAUCGGAAUUACUGGGCGUAAAGCGUGCGCAGGCGGUGAUGUAAGACAGUUGUGAAAUCCCCGGGCUCAACCUGGGAACUGCAUUUGUGACUGCAUCGCUGGAGUGCGGCAGAGGGGAUGGAAUUCCGCGUGUAGCAGUGAAAUGCGUAGAUAUGCGGAGGAACACCGAUGGCGAAGGUAAUCCCCUGGGCCUGCACUGACGCUCAUGCACGAAAGCGUGGGAGCAAACAGG